GUCUUUUUCCUUACAGAUAAAUGUCGGCUUGAUGACCAUUAAAAGGGUGGUUUGAAGCCAUACCGUGGAAAAACUAUUUUCCUAACAACAGACCCUGACGCUACUGCCACAAGUCUGCUCAAUCAAGCUGUUAAAAAUGAAGGACUUUAACAAAGAUCUAAAAGAUGGACCUUUCCUUCUUCUGUAUCCGGAUGGCACUGAGGUCAUUACUGUCCCUGGAACACAAAGACCAUUUACACUUGAGGCUUAUAAGGCUGAAGUUGGCAAGCCUUAUCAAAGAAUCACUGUUUUCAUCUGCUUGAAGAGUGACUUUGAAGAUGUUGGAGAAAACUCAGACUUGUCUGACUCUGACCCAGAGAUUGUUAUUAAAAGGCCCUCUGAGUUUGAUCUUGCUGAUACACUGGUAAGUACAAUUUAAAAUUUUUUAUAGAGUUUUCUUGUUGUUUAGCCACCACCAUUUGCCUCAGUUCAGUAAAACAGUUAAUAGUUAUAUGUGAAAUACAUUUUGUGUGUGUGUGUGCGUGCUCGCGUGCGUGUGUUUGUUUGUUUGUUUCAGCCAUUGGAACUUCAACAUGAAAGCAGUCCUUUACAGAAAGCGGCAGAAUAUGAGAAGGGUGCUGGGGAUCUUGUGCUUGCUAAUGAAGUACAACAGACACACCAAUUUGCAGGCACAUGGAAUUAUUGCAAAUUUGGCACUGGAACUUGACCACAAGAAGGUCAGCAGGUUCAAUAUAUCAAGGUCAGCUGUAUGGGAUGGAGCUGUUAGAGGAUUUCGACACAGCACAUACUCUGACAACUACGACAUGUUCAUCAAGUUUAAUGAUGAUGCUGGCAGCUUUGAAGAAGGUUUGGAUACAGGUGGCCCGAGGCGUGAAUUCCUCACACUUCUUAUGGGCAGUCU
ensembl:lncRNA